ACACAGGAAUGAUCAUAAUUAUGCUUUUACAUUUGUUUAAAAGAUGAUCAGAGUGCGACACAGAGUAUUGUCCAAUAUCAACGACAUCUGCAGCAUCUGCAUUUCUUCCUUUAUGGUUUACUGACGAACCUGCUCAGAACAUUAAUCGCCCAAAGAAGCAACUCAUUUAAAACCACCAGAAGAAAUAAAACUUUAAUCGUAAUAAAAACAAAUGUAAAAGAUUUCAUUUUCUGUGCCUGCUUUUUUAUUUUUAUUUUAUAAAAGUCACCAGUGACCAUGUAACUAAAGGUUUGCUUACCAGCCUGUAAAACACAUUGAAUACCGACAGGUGAUGGUGCAUUCCUAACCUAAACUUUAGCUAGAUAAAGCAAAGUUUGUUAAUUUCUCACAACAAUAAGUACCACACAAAAAAAAAUAAAAAGAGCUUAAAAAAUGUAGAUACUUCAAACCUUAAUUCAAAAAAAUCCUCUCUAUCCUUUUGUUUUUAUAAAAAUAAAAAAUUCAGAGUGUGAUUACACAGGAAUGAAGCAGUGCUGUGAAAGCUAUUGGAAUGGCCGGCAUUUCAUCCAGAGCAGCCAUUCGGCGCCAGAUGUGGGGAGGCGGGAGAGAAAGUAGGUCAGAAGAGUGAGCGCCUCAUGCCAGCGCUCUGUGGUGCGCCUUCAUGCGCGCAGCAGCCACCGUGACACACCCACACGCACGGACACAAAUCAAACAGACGUGCUCACACGUGAGCAUGCGCCAUGAAGGGGACUUGAGGCAGGUCCUGCUGACGUUCUGGACACUUGUUCUCAGGCAGCGCGGACAGGGACGGAGGGACAGAGGGCAACAAAAUGGCGAGCAAUAUUGGAGCUGUCCAGCCGUACAGUUUUGUGCAAGAUGCCAGCUCAGACGAGGAAAAUGAAGAUGUACGUGGAUACAGUCGUCUGCAAGUGGAUGCAUCGGAAUGGAGCAGCUUGUGGCCCGACGACUGUAGAUUUUACAUCACAGCUCCACCUUUUUUAAAUUGUAUUUUUUGUCUGCUCCUAAUUCACAAAAAUUAAAUACAAAGAAAUUCUCUCUUUCAUGUCAGACAAUAUUUUCAGACAUUUUCCUAUCAUGCAUUAUUAUUAUAAUGGUGUAUGUGAAUAAAUGUUGGUAUGAAUCCAUAAUUAAAAUAAAUAUUCCUGAUUUUUGUCUGUGAAAUGCAGAUUUCUGAAUUAAGUCAAAGGCUCUUCGUUUCAUCACUGAAUCUUUUCUGUGCCAAUAAGCUUUGCAAAUAAGUUUGAUCUUUGUUAACUUUGCUAGCUUGAGGGUUUCAAUUUAGCGGUUUGCGGCGUAGCCACUCUAAAUAAAAUGGAAAAAAUGG